CCAAGUUCGAUCCCUGGUACCAAAAAAACAAAAAGAUAAACCUCUUGCCUCUAUCACUAAAACUAAAUACUGUAGAACAGUUUUUAGGCUUGAAAGGAGGGAGUGUGACUUAGUAGUAGAGUGCAUGCCUGGCAUGUGUGAGUUCCUGGGUUCCAUCUCCAGUACCAUUAAUAAAGUUUUUAGGCUCACUAGAUGGGUAUUUGUCAUCAAGAAGGUGGGUAAGAAAAUACAGCAUUGAAACUUGUCUGUUUUGAGUAAGAAAAUGCCAAAGGUGGACAAAUUAAGUGGGUGUUUUAGGAGAGAAGGAAUUGACCACACGACAAAUUUCCUAGCCUGGUAAGCCAAUGUGUGGGAGGCUACAGAUGGUAGUUGGUAAUUUAUGUGAAUUGGACUGAGUCUAACUUUAGUCCUAAAAAUUUUAGCUCUGGUGUCUGUUUAAUAGUUGAACUUUGCCAAAAGGCACUCAAGCUACAAAUGUGAAUCCAGAAUUAAAAGAAGGGUUCAGUUUAUACUGUAGAGAUACUGAAAGCAUACGAAAAGUGUUCUGUUAGGGACCCUUUAUGUGGAAGUUUGGGAUAAGCUGUAAGAAUGGAUUGCAAGAUCUGCGAAACAAAGUAAACCUGCAUCCUUUAAAUGGGACUUGAAAGUUUUAGGCUAACUUUGACAGUUAAUGUGGCACAUCUUGAUACUAGGAAUGUAGAGGGUUUUUUUAAGGAAUGUAGCAUAUUGGUUAAUAAUACAGUGAGCAUAUUGUACAACAAGGCCCACAACAGCUCCUUUGUUCUUUGCUGUAGUAAACUACAGGGUGAUAGUCAAGUUCUGUAUUUAAGCAUAAUGUCAUUGUAUCCAUGACUUAGGCCAAAUCAGAAAUUUGUUUACUUUGGCAAAGAGAGUUCUUAAAAGAUUUACUAUUUGGAUUUUUUCCAUCUCCAUUUGCUAUUCCCAAAUUAUUGUUUUGUGUGUACUUAAAUCCAAUACUGAAUUACUACCUCAUUUGCUGAAGUUUUGUUGGUUUUUUGGGGGGUACCUGGGAUCGAACUCAGUUCCUUGCACUUGCGAGGCAGGCAGCGGAACCACUGAGCUAAAUCCUCGGCCCGUACUGAAGUGUUUUAAGUUGAUCUCAGCAACUGUUCAUCCUGGUUGUCAAGUCUGACCUUCCUCAAACAUUGUCACUCCCCUCAUAUGAAUCAAUGAUGGAUUGGUUAUAUUUUGCUUUAACAAUUUAUCAUUAUUUUUUAAAAUUUAUCACUAUUCUUAAACCACAUCUUCUGGUCUGGUAACUAUUUUGUUGGCCAUGUCAGGUUUUGCUUCUGUGUGUCUACUUACAUCCUUCCUUACCCGCUGCCACCAAGCAGUCUUCAGCUGCUUCAAAUCCAAACAUUCUCAAAGAUUUGGCUUAAGUCGCACUUAAAAAGAAUGCUGCUAAAAUCCUUUAAUACCUCUUUUCAACAAUAUGCAUUUAGUUCCCUUGCUAUUUCUUAUUAAUGUUGAAUUUUCUGUGGGUUAAAUAUUUGGACCCAAUGGAAUUUUUGUAAUAACUUGUAAUUCCCAGUGAGCUAAGCGCAAUGCUGACAGUUUAACAAAUUUUGUCAAGUAGAAAUAACCUAAUACUCCUUGAGAAGCAAAGUGCUGUAGAAGUCUUGUGUUUUAUAAAAUAUUGGUUAAUUCAAUUAUUGAAAAAAUAUUUUAAUCCUAAUAUUGGAUCAAAUAAUUCCUCAUUAGAUGUGAAGCCAGGAAAUUCAGAUUUAAAUGCUAGCCUGGUUUCACUGUGUAGUUCAGGAUGACUCUGUGUGUGUGUGUGUUUUGAGACAGGAUCUCACUAUAUGGUUCAGGCUGGUCUUGAACUCACUAUGUGGCUCAGGCUGGCCUCAAACUCACUGCAAUCCUCCUUGCCUCCGCCUCCUGAGUGCUGGGGUUAUAGGCAUGCACCACCACGCCUGGCUCAGGGUUUUGUUUUUUUUUUUGUUUGGUUUUUAUUUUAACUCACUAGGCCAGGCUGAUACCAAACUCACAGUGAUCCUCCUGCCUCAGCCUUCUCACAGCUGGGAUUACAGGUGUGCCCCACCAUGCUCACUCAACCUGAGAAGGUAUAUGUUGCUCCCAAAACUGGACUUAGAAUGUAGAAAAGUUUUGUUGUAAGCUGUGCACACUUAUUUCAGUAUAGAUUACCAAGAAUUGAUGGUAUUGUCUCCUCAAAACCAAACAGCUUCUUUGCGGCUGCCUCUUGGAUCUUUAAGUCAUCUUUUUCUUGGGCAUGAUUCUUUCAGAGGAAGCUUUAAAUUGACUCCGAAUUUACUGGCGCUGCCUCAAUCAGAAUCUCUGAAAAUUUCUCAGCCUGUUGAGUUUGAGCUAUUUUGUUCUUUUUUGAAAUCAUGUUCCCACCGGCUUGAAACACCAGUGGUACAUACAUGACUGUCCCAUUGGGCAGCUUUUUAUUAAUUCUAUUAAAAAGAUGAUUAAAAAAAUGAUAAAAGUGACUAGAUACAUUUGUACCACCAGUGAUACAAGCUGCCCAUGGGACAGCCAUGCAUGGUUCAAGCUGCCCGGCAGUGAGAGAUACAAAUUAUAGCCCCAUCAUGAACGUGUUAACUCCAUGUCCUAGCCAAUGCUGUGUGCCGCAGCAGGCUGUUUGUAUCAUUGAAAAGCUCUAAAAGGUCCACCAUCACUUCUAGGCCCUACAAGUAGCUCCACUCCUUUAGCUAUUAAAGUUCUGGCUCUUCUUGAUUAGCUAGUGACAAUCAUUUUUAAUAUUUUUAUUAGUUUGCAAUACAUAUGAUUACAUCAUGGCAAGUUGGCACAUGUACAGACCUCAUCCUUUUAUGUCUCCUCUCCUGACUCAGUUAUUCCUGAAAUAAUUGCACUUCAUUUCUGCUUUGGCUUUCUUCGCCAUGUUUAUAUAGUGCAUUUAUUUUAUUUUUUAUAUUUUGGUACUGGGGAUCAAACUCGGGAUCUUGCACUUGCAAGGCAGGCAGCGGAACCACUGAGCUAAAUCCUGGGCCCCUAUAUAGUGCGUUUACAUGUCCACUUUAAGCUGUACUUGAUAGUUGUUUCGUGUAUAUUUUGUUUCUUCCAGCUACAUAGUGAACUCUUGGGGCUAGUAUGUUAGGGAAAUCUGAGGCAAGUAUGCUGUGUAGUUUAGAUCUGAGAUGCAGGUGCCCCUCUGAUCAGAUUGGGCUUAUUCUCAGUAGUAAUCUCAAGGGUUCCUGUCCUUGCUACUUUUUUAGUGGAAAAUUUUUGAGGAAGAAAGUGCAAAACCAUAGGACAAAUACCUGAUGUUUUCUUAAAGUAAUGCCUGUUUUACAGAGUAUUUUGACGUGUGUGUGUGCGUGUGUGUGUGUGUGUACUGGGGAAUGAACUUGGGACCUUGCACUUGUGAGGCAGGCGGUGGAACCACUGAGCUAAAUUCCCGGCUAUUUUGACUCAUUUUAAGCCUCAAGUGCUAUUGGCCUCAUUUUUCAUUGAAGGAAAAGCCUGAGAUUUUAAAUUGGCAGGCUCAAAAUUUGAAUGCAAGUCAUAUUUACUACACUAUUGCUUUUUGAGGUUUCUCCAGGGGAGAAUGAUAAAUCUGUGAACACUACCUGUAGUAGCUACCUGAUGCCACCAGGGUGUCCCAUGGUGCUGUGGUUGAUAUUCUUACCCUGAGAGCUGGGGACUGUUCCAACUACAUCUUGUUAGAGUGGCUUAUGGCUCAGAGCCUGGCCCCAAACAAUGGAAUACUUGGCUUCCUGGCUUUCCAGUGUACAGUGCACAGCCAGCCCUUAGAAGCCCUUGCCCUGUUUUUACUCCUAGUCAAACUGCCCCCACAGCCAGUGGGUCACAGAGUAGUCAAGGGCUGGCUAGCCCCUCAGUAACAACACAGCAACCCCUCAGAAGACAUUAGCAUACAAAAGAACCUGUGAAUGGUAAAUGUCUAUGAACAUCAGUGUUUAGUAGCUGAGUAUACAGUUCAACAACUUUGUAUUAGUAAACUAGAACCAUAGCAAAACCAGAUUGAAUUAACACUAUAUGUAGAUGAAUAUUACUACUCUUUUGGGGUGGGGCUUUUUGAAACAGUCUAUAGUCCAGGCUGGCCUUGAACUUGUAGUGAUCCUCCUGCCUCAGCCUGUUGAAUGCUGAGAUUACAGGUGUGUGCUGCCAUGCCUAGCUUAGGUAGAUGAAUAUUAAAAGUCAUCGGCAAAUGCACUUUCCAGUUUGCAAUAAAAAUGUUUGUAUUAUACUUAGCCUGAGUGUGCAGCCUUCUAGCAUGAGGGUGUUUUUUUGUUGUUUUUUUUUUUAUUGGUUGGUUUUUUAGUAGUAGAAAUUGAACCCAGGGCCAUGCAUGUGCUAGCCACUACCACUGAGCUACAUUCUCAGCCCUUAGAAUCAUUUUUUAUAUUCAAUAAUCUUAGAUGUCAAAGCUAUCUCUUAUGAGAGAGCUAAUAGGAUGAAGUCUCAGAUUUGGUAUUAAGGAGAAAAUACAAUCUUUAAAAUUUGCUGUUCAAGCACUUUGUACUAGUGUGUAUAGCUAACUGGCUUAUAAUUAUUUCUUUACGAGUCUUGAUUUCUGCAUUGGAGAAGAUCCUUAAAAGUAUUUCCAGUGGCCAGCAUAGCUCCUGAGAAUUAGUAAGUGCUCAAUAUUUACUGGAAUAACGUUUCCAUAGUAGUUCUGAGAUAGUUCUACAUAUGGGAAGAGGUCUUUGUUUUUGUCUUCAAGCCAAUUAAAAUUCAUUUUGAACUGGAAAGUGCGUUGGAUGUCCUGGCCUUUUGAAAGGCUGAGUUCAUUGUUUAAUGUUGGAGUUCUCAUCAUGGCCUGAGUUUGAGUCUGUGUUUAAGCUGUUUCUCUUUAGGUAUCACCUAUGUGCUAUCCUAGGACUGGUUGGUUACCCGGCUUUUCAGACUCCCAGGAAUAAACUACUGAUUCUAGCUAUUGAACUUGAGGUCCCCCUUUCCCCUCUCUCCUCCCUGCUUUCUCACAUGAGUUUCCAGCCUGAAACUUGUUCAAGACAUGGUUUGUUUGGGUUUGUUUUUGUUUAUGUAAUUGUUUCUGCUGGGACUAGUCCAGUGGCCACAUGCACGGUAACUACACACUUUACCACUGAGCUAUGCCUCAGCCCUAUACCUACUCUUUUUUUUUUUUUUUUUUUUUUUUUUGGUACUGGGGAUCAAACUCGGGUCCUUGCGCUUGCCAGGCAGGCGGCAAAACCAAUGAGCUAAAUCCCGGGCCCUACCUACUCUUUUUUUUUUUUUUUGUACCGGGGAUCGAACUCAGGACCUUACACUUGCGAGGCAGGCGCCAGAAUCACAGCUAAAUCCCUGGCCCUCUACUCUUUUUAAUAAUCAAGUAAACUUUGAAUUUUCAUAGAUCUCUGGUAAGUGGACUAAUCAGAUUAUAGAUUAUAGUACUAACUUGGACUGUUCUUGGACACUAUGGUUUUCUUAGGUCAUCAGAGUGACCGCUUCAGCUAAAUAAAUAUACAGAACAUAUAUGGGAUUUCUUUGAGCUUCAUUAUUAGUUUCACUAUGUGGGAGAUCUCUGGUACAAAUAACCCUCUUUCCUUUAAGAAAUAUUUUAGAGAUUUUUCCAUCCCAUGUUUUAUAUCUAGUUUAAUAAAUUGAUUUUAAAAUAUUAUUUCCUAUGUGAGGAAUAAUAUAUUCUGCCUUUCCCAUCUAAAGUGCAAAUUACUAAAAGGCAGAAAUGUGUAUUAUAACUCUUGAGGUGCCUGUUUCUGAACUUGUUUUAUACCUGAUGCGCGGGAGGUGUUUUCUCUAGCUUCAUUGAUUAUGUGCCAUCUGUUCUGUGAGCAUUCUUUGCAGAAAGAAAGGGGAGAGAACGUGAAAGGAGAAGUGGAGAGAAGCUGGAGAAGAAGAAAUAGCUGGAAGCUUGGGAAUUGGGGGAUUUACCUAAGACGGUCUUGCUAUGUUCAGGCUAGCCUUGAACUCACUAUGUACCCCCGGCUGGCCUCAAACUCACAAUGGUCCUCCUGCCUCAGCUUCCCAAGUGCUGAGAUUACAGGCGUGUGCCACCAUGCCUGGCUAGUCUGGCUAUUUUUGUGAUGUCACAAUGUCAAGUUACUCCUGCUCACUACUUCACCAGGGAACCUACGAUGCUGACCAGUUUCCUGGUGUGUUACCUGCUUCUGCUACUGAUCCAAACUGCAGAACUUAUUCAUCCCCAUGGCCUCCAGACAGUAUCCAAUGGGGAAUCCGAUCUAAAAGGAACCAGACCUACGUUUUCCAGCCCUUCAUUCUGGUGACUGAUGGAAGGAAGGAAGGGGAGGGGGAAUAUAGUCGUAUACAGAAUGAAAAAGAAACAGACUGUCAAAUUAUUGUACCUCUUUACCUUAGUACUCACCAGCCAUAUUAAUUACAUUGUUUAAGUAUUUGGGGAAGUUGGAGAUGACCAGCAUCAGACGUGACUGGAUGGGAGUAAAUGGAGGGAAUGAGAUAAGAGUUGAUUUUGAAAGAUGCUGAUGUUUUGAAAUAAUGUACCCAUCUGAGGAUUUUUUCUUUUAAGUUUAUAAAAAUACCAUUGAUAUAGCCUGUCCCCUCACUUCCCCACCACAGGUUUCUUGGACUGGAGACAUUUCUUUAAUAAUAGCGUGUCUCUGAUAUUCCCAGUAACAACUACUAUCGAGGAAAGGAUAGAAAACGUUCAGGACAUCAUCAUAUAGACUCCUCAUCUACAAAGUUCAGUAACGGUGACGCCUACACAGAAGACUUGGAACUGCAAACAGGCUGGGGUCACCUCAGUGACAUCUCUUGAUGCACAAACAGAAGUUUGAUUUUUGUUUCGGGGGUGCAGAAGGAAGCAGACUGUAGUAAAACACUAAAGUAAUUUUAUGUCUA
rnacentral:tRNA from 1 species